rnacentral:snRNA from 1 species
AUACUUACCUGGCAGGGGAGAUACCAUGAUCGUGAAGGUAGUUUUCCCGGGGUGAACCUUAUCCUUUGCACUCCAGAUGUGCUGACCUCUGCAACUUCCCCAAAUGUGGGAAACCUGACUGCAUAAUUUGUGAGAGUGGAGGAUUGCUUUCACUCUCA